rnacentral:rRNA from 1 species
AUUGAACGCUGGCGGCAUGCUUUACACAUGCAAGUCGAACGGUAACAGGGAGCUUGCUCCGCUGACGAGUGGCGAACGGGUGAGUAAUGCGUCGGAACGUGCCGAGUAGUGGGGGAUAACGCAGCGAAAGGUGUGCUAAUACCGCAUACGAACUGAGGUUGAAAGUGGGGGACCUUCGGGCCUCACGCUAUUCGAGCGGCCGACGUCUGAUUAGCUAGUUGGUGAGGUAAAGGCACACCAAGGCGACGACCAGUAGCGGGUCUGAGAGGAUGAUCCGCCACACUGGGACUGGGACACGGCCCAGACUCCUACGGGAGGCAGCAGUGGGGAAUUUUGGACAAGGGGCGCAAGCCUGAUCCAGCCAUGCCGCGUGUCUGAAGAAGGCCUUCGGGUUGUAAAGGACUUUUGUCCGGGAGCAAAUGCUGGUGGCUAACAUCCACCGGAGCUGAGAGUACCGGAAGAAUAAGCACCGGCUAACUACGUGCCAGCAGCCGCCGUAAGAC